rnacentral:rRNA from 1 species
CCUACGGGUGGCAGCAGUGGGGGAUAUUGCUCAAUGGGGGAAACCCUGAUGCAGCGACGCCGCGUGUGGGAAGACGGUCCUCUGGAUUGUAAACCACUGUCCCCAGGGACGAAGAUGACGGUCCCUGGGGAGGAAGCUCCGGCUAACUACGUGCCAGCAGCCGCGGUAAUACGUAGGGAGCGCGCGUUGUCCGGAAUUACUGGGUGUAAAGGGAGCGUAGGCGGGGAUGCAAGUUGGGUGUGAAAAGUUCCGGCUCAACUGGUAGUCGGACUCUAAACCGGAGCUUUUUGGGGAAGGUAGGGGCAGGCGAAAUUCGAGGUGUAGCGGUGAAAUGGU